rnacentral:rRNA from 1 species
UACGUAGGGACCAAGCGUUGUUCGGAUUUACUGGGCGUAAAGGGCGCGUAGGCGGCAAUUCAAGUCAGCUGUGAAGUCUCCGGGCUUAACUCGGAACGGUCAGCUGAUACUGCUUUGCUAGAGUGCAGAAGGGGCAAUCGGAAUUCUUGGUGUAGCGGUGAAAUGCGUAGAUAUCAAGAGGAACACCUGAGGUGAAGACGGGUUGCUGGGCUGACACUGACGCUGAGUGCGCGAAAGCUAGGGGAGCAAACGGG